rnacentral:sRNA from 1 species
ACUGGGUAUGGUGGUGCAUGCCUGUAAUCCCAGUGACUUGGAGGCCGAGACAGGAGGAUAGUGAUUUGGAUGUCAGUCUCAGCAAGACCCUAUCUCAA